AACCAGCUGAGCCCCCCGGGCACCCCCACCAGGCUUCCCUUCUUACGAACGUACAGAUGCUUUACAGGCUGGGUCAUGUGAGCCCCAGGCGCCCCACCCUCUUCCUGAAAGGACCUUUUCCUGCCAGCUCCUUCCAGGGUCGUGCCUGACGCAGCAGCUUCGGGAGGCCCUGCUGGCCGUGCCACCCAGGGCCUCACCCCCAAGCAGGCACCGCACCAGCGGCCCGGCCCCAGAGCCUCCAGGUGUUGCCAGGAGCUGAGCCCACGGCCCAGACCCACCCCAGCGCAUCACGUGACCAAUGUGUGGCCUGCUCGGAUUGGCCAGCCUCGGCCGUGCACCUGCCCCACCUGCAUGACACCCUGAAGUUGAAGCCUGAGCAGAGGGGCCGGUGCUGGGAGGUGUCCCCCGGGCCUCACUUUGUAACCAGAAGGAGAGGUGUGUGUGUGUCUCAGCCCCUUCCAGGCAGGCAAGACCCACACUGUCUGAGAGCCUCCCUUCCACUCCGCGCGGGGGGCCCUUGGUGGCGGAGUGAGGACUGGCGAGGGCCUGGGCGUCACCCUUGCCUGCAUGAGGUCCCGGGCUGUGAGAACGUGGGCCUGUGGCUUGGGGCCUGUCACAGCACAGCUGGGGCUGGAGGGAGAGCGUCCACUCCCAAGCAAGGUCACCGGCUGCCAGUCCAAAGUCCCAGAGCUGAGGGGACUCAGUUCCCAGGGGACCCCCACUUGCAGCUGAGGCUGGUUGCACCUACGGGGGCCUCGCCACCUUUCCUGCUUCCUGUCCCACACCGGUUAGUGUGAGGUCACCCUGGGGGCACCCAAGGUAUGUGCACGUCCACAGACAGCGUGACAAGCACCUGUGACGUCUACUCAGGCGAGGCCCUGUCCGGGGCUGGAGGCGGAAGGAGCUCUUAUGUUGGGGGUCGGGGCUCCCCACGGUUGCAGACACGCUGGGAUGCCUAACGAGGCUGCACGCCAGCGUGAGGGCGCUGGCCGGUGUCGGCCCGGAGCCAUUGGGACGGGGCUGCUGUCACCCACGAUGGCCGAUGCGGCAGGGAGAGGGGACCGCUGACUUGGCUCUCAGGGCCCGAGUCCAGUCCCAGCUUCGGCACCGCAGGUCUGGUGACAAGGUGGGUCUCAGCGCUUCCUACUUCGGAGCCGGGAGCCCGGCUCAAGUCGGGGAGCAGGUAUCUCUCUCCGCCUUCCAGGAAUCCUGUGAAUGUGUUCUGUCCGCUGGGCACUGGGGCUGUAGAGGGCCGUGGAGAUCUCCUCCGGGGAGACCCGGAGAGGGGGCGGCUUGGGCCGGCCUCUUGUCCUCACUGUACCUUCCGGAAGUAGAGCAGAGAGCCCCAGGGAGGAAGGCUGAGAGGUUCCUGCCCACCGGGGACAGGGGCCGAGCAGGACGUGGUCAGAAGCCAUUCCCCGGCCCUCACACCCCCUCUCCCCUCUUCACUCCUGGGCCAGGACGGGGGCUCCGGUAGACACAGAGACCGAGCAGUGUCACUCUGAGAGACACUCAUGGGAGGAAAGGCCCAGAGAUCAGAGAGGCCUCCACAGCGCCAAGCCUCCAGCCCCAGAGCGAGGCCAGGCCUCCCAGGAUGGAGCCAUGGGGAGGCCGAGAAGGGACAGAAGAGGGGGACUGGAGGGGAGAGCUGGCGUCCCCGUGUGUGCCGCGGACCUGCCAGGCGGCCUCCCGGACAUCAGGCACACCUGAGGCCUGGGCCCCGGGAGCUGUGUUUCUGUCUGGUCCCCAGAACUGGCCCGUGUCCCAGAGUGGAAGGCUGGCCGGACAGAGCCUGGGGUCCCAGGGAAGGAAGAGCAGGGGCUAAAGUGGGUAAGUGAGCAGAGCUCCAGGAAAGUCCCAGUUGGAAAAAUUACUCGUAAGUGCUCAGGAAGCAUUAGAACAUAGAGACUGCUAACGAGCCCUAUUGAGAUUAAAUCAGGAGCCCGAUAAACAUUGUCAUCUGGUUGCAAA